rnacentral:tRNA from 1 species
UAGCUCAGUUGGUAGAGCAUGGUGCUUGCAAUGCCAGGGUUGUGGGUUUGAUUCCCUU